ACGGGGGCUUACGCGAUUGCGAGAUCGAGCGUUCCCUUGGGUUCUCUGGCGUCCGAGCGUUGGAAACACAAAACUGUACUCCAUGAAUGUUCUGUUGGCUUUGAUUUCCUCCUUGAAGAAAAACAAGAUUUUGAAAAAAUAGUAAAGUAGAACUAGAAAAAAGGUAAAAAAUCUAAAAUAAAAAGAUUCCUUGAAAACUAGAGAAAAUGUAAUUAUAAUUGGACUACUUGAAAUAAACAGUCAGAAAAAGAAUAGUUUUGCAGCAUGUAUUGUCACAGAAAGAACCGAUUGAUUUGGAGAUGAUCCAGUGAUUUCUUUGAGUGAUCUCUGAGUCCUAACAAAUAAAAUCUGACAUUUCUUCACGUUGUCAAGAAUGAACAAUUUAGAGGGGUACAAAGAUCUGAAGAGUUAGGGGAUUUGGGAAAACAUUGCAGUCAUGUGGAACAGCCAGUGAAGAGGCAUCAAGAUAGCAGGUGAAGUAUUGCAUUAGAAGAACAACAUAAACUUUGAAGGGAAUCAAAAUUUGAAAAGACUGUAAUAAAAGAGGAAGGGAUCAAGUUAUGAUGGCCUGUUUGAUCUUGGAGGUAUUUGGAAACCCUGCUUUUCCUUGCAUGAUGAUUGGAUAAGAACAUAUCUAUUCUUUAAGAAAAUUGCUUUUUAUUUGAGUGGAAGAUGGAUAGUAGUGGAAAAAGAUAUAAUACAAGAUACCAAAUAAAAACCUGUUAUAGGAAUCUAAAACAAUGAACUCCUGAGGAAUGAUGUACUACAAAUGUGUUAUGAACAUAGAAACAACAAGAUUAAACAAUGGAUUGAA